GAUGAACGCUGGCGGCGUGCUUAACACAUGCCAGUCGAACGGAAAGGCUCCUGCUUGCAGGGGUACUCGAGUGGCGAACGGGUGAGUAACACGUGGGUGAUCUGCCCUGCACUUCGGGAUAAGCCUGGGAAACUGGGCCUAAUACCGGAUAGGACCACAUUUUGGAUGGUGUGGUGGAAAGUUUUUCGGUGUGGGAUGAGCUCGCGGCCUAUCAGCUUGUUGGUGGGGUAAUGGCCUACCAAGGCGUCGACGGGUGGCCGGCCUGAGAGGGUGUACGGCCACAUUGGGACUGAGAUACGGCCCAGACUCCUACGGGAGGCAGCAGUGGGGAAUAUUGCACAAUGGGCGCAAGCCUGAUGCAGCGACGCCGCGUGGGGGAUGACGGCCUUCGGGUUGUAAACUCCUUUCGCUAGGGACGAAGCGCAAGUGACGGUACCUGGAGAAGAAGCACCGGCUAACUACGUG
rnacentral:rRNA from 1 species